rnacentral:misc_RNA from 1 species
CCAACAGCGUAUAUUAAAGUUGCUGCAGUUAAAAAGCUCGUAGUUGAAUUUCGGGACCAAUAUGUUGGUCGUGCUUUUGUACGUACUGAUAUAAUUGGUUUCUCCCUUCUGAAGAACCUUGAUGUCAUUAAUUUGGUGUCUUGGGGAAUCAGGACUGUUACUUUGAAAAAAUUAGAGUGUUUAAAGCAGGCUCGCGCUUGAAUACAUUAGCAUGGAAUACUGAAAUAGGACUUUUGAUUCUAUUUUGUUGGUUUCUAGGAUCGACGUAAUGAUUAAUAGGGAUAGUUGGGGGCAUUAGUAUUCAAUUGUCAGAGGUGAAAUUCUUGGAUUUAUUGAAGACUAACUACUGCGAAAGCAUUUGCCAAGGAUGUUUUCAUUAAUCAAGAACGAAAGUUAGGGGAUCGAAGACGAUCAGAUACCGUCGUAGUCUUAACCAUAAACUAUGCCGACUAGGGAUCGGAUGAUGUUAAUUUUUUAAUGACUCAUUCGGCGCCUUACG